rnacentral:lncRNA from 1 species
CACCUCACCACCUCACCUCGCCAAAAACCUCCUCGCCCAAUCCAUACCAGCACCCGCACACCUCUCCCCCAAGUACCAGCACCUCGCCCCUAAGUACCAGCACCAGCUCCUCGCCCCCAACCACCUCGCCCAGUCCCUCCCCACAACCACGCUCGCCCAACUACCUCGCCCAACCAUACCACAAAGGCAAACCCAGCACCUCACCACAACAGCCAAUACACAAGCAUGAAAAAUGAACUUAAAACUUUAAACAAACAAACCACCAUCAGAUUUUCAAUACACCGAACAGGCAAAAUGAACGGCUGUGAUUGAUGGCUGGGCUUCUAUUACUUCAUUGCUUCCUUUCCAUUGUAUUCUUUCAAACUGUUGCUAAAGCCCGUGGGGGGUUCUUUGCUUCAUUUAUGGGCUGCUUCUGCAACCGGAUGCUGGGUUCUAUUCUGCACAUUGGGCAUGUUACUGCUACUUGAUGUUGAUCCCUUUGGCUUCUAAAAAUCCUAGGGCCUCUGGAAAAUCUGCUUUCUUAUGUAACAAUGAUAGUUGUUUGUUUAUUGUAAUAGAUUUGUUGGGCGUCUGUCAUGUAAUCUUUUAUAAUCUUGACAUCACAGGGCAUAUCCUAUGAUGUCUAUUCUAUAUUUUGAUUGGGG